UGAGCAACCUGCCCUUGACACUGGAAUAACAGUUGGAAACAGCUGCUAAUACCGGGUAUCACCUCCUACGGCAUCGUAAGAGGUUGAAAGCUCCGGCGGUCAAGGAUGGGCUCGCGGCCUAUCAGCUAGUUGGUGUGGGUAACGGCCCACAAGGCGACGACGGGUAGCCGGCCUGAGAGGGUGACCGGCCACACUGGGACUGAGACACGGCCCAGACUCCGUACGGGAGGCAGNAGGUAGGGG
rnacentral:rRNA from 1 species